AACGAACGCUGGCGGCAUGCCUAACACAUGCAAGUCGAACGAGACCUUCGGGUCUAGUGGCGCACGGGUGCGUAACGCGUGGGAACCUGCCCUUAGGUUCGGAAUAACUCCCCGAAAGGGGUACUAAUACCGGAUAAUGUCUUCGGACCAAAGAUUUAUCGCCUUUGGAUGGGCCCGCGUUGGAUUAGCUAGUUGGUAGGGUAAAAGCCUACCAAGGCGACGAUCCAUAGCUGGUCUGAGAGGAUGAUCAGCCACACUGGGACUGAGACACGGCCCAGACUCCUACGGGAGGCAGCAGUGGGGAAUAUUGGACAAUGGGCGAAAGCCUGAUCCAGCAAUGCCGCGUGAGUGAUGAAGGCCUUAGGGUUGUAAAGCUCUUUUAACCGGGAUGAUAAUGACAGUACCGGGAGAAUAAGCGCCGGCUAACUCCGUG
rnacentral:rRNA from 1 species